GACGAACGCUGGCGGCGUGCUUAACACAUGCAAGUCGAACGGAAAGGCCCUGCUUUUGUUGUUUGCUCGUUUGGCGAACGUGUGUGUAACACGUGUGUAACCUGCCCUUGACUUUCGGAUAACUUCAGGAAACUGGGGCUAAUACCUGAUAGGAGCUCCUGCUGCAUGGUGGUCGUUGGAAAGUUUCGGCGGUUGGGGAUGUACUCGCGGCUUAUCAGCUUGUUUGUGUGGUAGUUGCUUACGAAGGAUUUGACGGGUAGCCGGCAUGGGAGGGUGACCGGAGACAUUGGGACUGAGAUAAGGAACAGAAUCCUACGGGAGGCAGGAGAGGGGAAUAUUGCAGAAUGGGAGGAAGCAUGAUGCAGAAAAGCCGGGUGCGGGAAGACGGACUAAGGGUAGUAAACCGAUUUGGCAUGUGACGAAGAGUGAGUGACGGUAAUGGGUAAAGAAGCAACGGCUAACUACGUG
rnacentral:rRNA from 1 species